rnacentral:rRNA from 1 species
CCUACGGGAGGCAGCAGUGGGGAAUCUUGCACAAUGGAGGAAACUCUGAUCCAGCCAUGCAGCGUGCAGGAAGACGGCCCUAUGGGUUGUAAACUGCUUUUAUACAGGAAGAAAUCUAUCUACGUGUAGAUAGUUGACGGUACUGUACGAAUAAGGAUCGGCUAACUCCGUGCCAGCAGCCGCGGUAAU